rnacentral:sRNA from 1 species
AUCCGAGGGCGCGGCCGCGCCACGGCAGGCUCGGCGUCCCUGCAGCCGGGCCUCACAGAUACGCAUGCGCUGCCCGCCUGUCGCCUGUCGCGCGGAGGCGGGGGCACUGGUUAGGAAGGUCAGCCCGACGCCGCGGGAGCCUAGGUAGUCAUCCAUCAGAAUAAUGACCAUUAAUGCGUCAUUCCGCCGGGCCGGACUGCCCUGGACGGCGCUCUAGGCAAGCCAUCCACAGCCUGAAGUGAGAUGCCAGCCAGAGACAGCCUGAGUCCGAGACACAAGGCAGAGAGAAUGAAGUACAAAUCAUAAUGGUCAUCACUCAGUGAACACACUCCCUUAAGCACCAUCCAGGAUGUUUAGCUGGUUUUUAAAGGAGAAAGAGACCGCUGAGAGAAAACACUGGAGUGGCAGCCCAGGCAGCCGUGCCUGCAGGAGGAUGCCUCCCAGCAGAACAGAGUCCUCACUUUCUGCACUUGAACUGUGUGGUAUGCCCAGAGAUAUUUUUUUUUUACUUUAUUAGAUGCUGCAAAUCAGUCAUGAAGACAUUUUUAGCUGUGCUGAUGAAUAUACAUUUGGUGGCUAAAUUUAGGCUUUUAUUUUAAACAUUUUCUCCGUUGAAACUUGAAGGUGUUGCUUAGCUACCUUCCCCCUUUUCUCAGUGUAGACUCUGAUUUAAUGUAAUUUCUUCUGCAGGUGCUAGGAACGAACAGGCUGCUGUCAGUAAGAAAAUGAACCACCCAACUGGAAACAGGCACAAGAUAUCUUACUAGAAAAGGUCUCCAGAUGGUGGGCAAGCACAAGAAUGAAUGUGUAAGUAUCUCAGAGUCUUCAGGUAUGUACCCAGGAGCAUUCAGCUGUGCCAUGUGGUAGCUAAAUUUUCAGUUUAUUGAGGAACCCCCGUCCCGAUGUCUAUAGUGGCUGUGAUGUGUUUUAUAAAGCCAAGGAUAUAUUUUUGUAGAGCGCAGUAUGGUGCGGUGAGAGGGAUUGCCUCAAAGGGAUGAAGCACCAGCCAUAUGAUGGGUUUAGUAUAGAAUAGACUUUAUUUGGGGGCUUGGGAAGGGGA